rnacentral:misc_RNA from 1 species
GGAAAAGAGAAAAGCAGCGAGGAAAACUUCUGAGCAGAGAAAAAAAGAAGGGUUUUAGGGAUUUUGUUGGUUUCGGCAUGACUCGCUUGAGCAUCGAACAGAUUUUAAAGGAUAAACAGACCCUUGAUCCUGCCUCCAUUACUUCUCUCUCGCUCACUCACAGAGCUCUCUCCGAUGUAUCUUGCUUGAGCCAAUUCACCAACUUGGAGAGACUGGACCUCGCCUUCAAUAGCCUCACUUCGCUCCAGGGAUUGAGUUCUUGCGUGAACUUGAAGUGGUUAUCAGUUGUGCAAAACAAAUUGCAAAGCUUAAAAGGAAUUGAAGGCCUUUAUAAUCUCACUGUAUUAAAUGCGGGCAAAAAUAAGCUUAGAUCAAUGGAUGAGGUCAGGUCUCUUGUGAGCUUACGAGCUUUGAUUUUAAAUGACAAUGAGAUUGUUUCCAUUUGCAAGCUGGAUCAAAUCAAAGAACUGAACACUCUUGGUAUGAGUUCCUAAUAUAGCUCGGUUUAUAUCUGUGCAACUCAAUUUAGUAGGUGCCUGUGGAUUCUUAAUGUACUUUUUAUUCAAUUCAUGUGAAUCAAAAUCAAUUGUAUGUAGUUUUAUUGUUAAUGAAAGACAAAAACUGAGGAUACAAUCAUUGUAGGAAGGAGGAAAGCUGAGUAAUAAUUCUGCAAAAGCAAAAAUAUUUUUUAAAAUCUAUUAUUUUUUCCCUUAGAAUUCCCCUCUGCUUUUGUCUCUUUGCUGCCAAAGUUGUGGAAGCUUAUAAAGUCUCUUCUUUCUCAACAUUUUUUUAUUAGGAAUUAUUUCAGAUUUGUGGUGGGAUCUAAUGUACAGUUUUUGAAAGGGCAGGAGGAUUUUGUUGCAUUCCACUUUCUUCUGAUAUCAAAGGCAGAACUUUUGGAAAACCUUUAACAAUAACUACCUGAAGCUGGGUUCUCUUUAUACUCUGCUAAUAAUAUCUUUCAUGUAACACAUUUGUCUUUAAUAGUUUAUAAUUCCUAUCUCUUUUUUUUUUCCUGCAUGGUUUUCAUGUUUCUCAAAGUGAUUGUUAGUCAAUUAGAACCUCAGAGUGGAAUGCAAUGUAGCAUUUCUAGUAAAGGUAUUACAAGCAUGGUAACCAGGGAAAAGGAAAGUUAGCAUGCAAAGAAGCUUGUGCAUAAUCAAAAGGCUUGUGAAGGGUAGGUCAAUUGGCCAAAGGAAGGAAGAACAUAGGGUGUGAUCCAAUUGGAGUGCCAAUGAAGGGCGUGCUAUCAAUCGCAAUUCAUGCAAAUUGAUAGCAGUGGCCAUUGUUUGAUAUGUUGAUUUUCUAUAGCUAGUUAUACUCUGGAGAGGAUAGUAGUUGAGGAUGCAUAAAAUCAACUAUAUUAUCAUUAUAGCAAGACCAGAUAAAUCAUUGUAACAUGUGAAAGAAAAUUAAGGUAUACAAGCAUACGUCCAUACGAUGAUGUUGAAUCAUAAUCAUAUUCUUUAUUUGCAUCCUUUGUUAUGUUGAAGGCAAUUUAAACAAAAUCUCUCUACAUUUAUUUGAUUCAUCAGUGUCACAAUGUGCUGAUGUUAAGUUGCUUUUAUCUUAGACAUUUUUAAUAUUCAUUUGGCUUUCUUGAGAAUAUUUAGUUUGUUAUAUAUUAUAUUGCAGAUCCAUAUAUCAUUUUAUUGAACAUUGGAACUUUUAAUGACCAUGCGAUGCACUCUUAUAUCAGCAAAAGCUCUGGAUUUUCUUAUUUAGGCAUUAUUAAUAUUUCUUUUUACUUUUUCCUUCCUGUAAUUUAGUAUUUGAUUUAACCCAUCCUAUAGUUUAGACUGGACAUUACUUAAUGAAACUCUAGCUAUAUUGUGUACACUUGGACAGUUGGACUGACAAAAUGCAGUGAAUUUCUUUAUAAGAUCUUCUAACCUAAGUGCUCAGCCUUUAUCAGAUAACAAGAAUUUUGGCUUCUCAAUCUUCUGGAAUAGAAGUUUUAUCAAAUACUCACUAAAUUGAGGCAUAAUUUGUAAUAUAUCUUUUAGAAUAUAAUCUAAAGAGAGUAAAUCGUGCUCUUUGCCUUUGCAAUUUUCCUGUAGUUCUUUCACGAAAUCCAAUCCGUGAAAUUGGUGAAUCACUGGUCAAGGUGAAGUCCAUUACAAAGGUAAGUAGUUGGUGGGGCAUUAAAUGUCUUCUGCUGCAGUUUCAGUGCAUUUAGCAUCCUUCUAUUUUGCAGCUUUCUCUUUCCAAUUGCCAACUUCAGAGCAUUGGCUCAUCGCUUAAGUCCUGCAUUGAACUGAAAGAGCUCCGGCUUGCUCAUAAUGAUAUUAAGACUCUCCCAGCUGAGUUGGCUUACAAUAAAAAACUCCAGAAUUUGGACUUGGGAAAUAAUGUGAUCGCGAGAUGGUCAGAUGUGAAGGUGCUAAAUUUCUUAGCUGAUCUGAAAAACCUUAAUGUACAAGGAAACCCUAUUGCUGAAAGGGACAAAUUAGCCAAGAAGGUCCUAAAAUUGUUGCCAAGUUUGCAUAUAUUCAAUGCUAGACCAAUAGAUAAAAACAACAAGAAAGGAGAUGGUGGCAGUGUUGGUAGAGUAGAUGAUUUUUCAAUUAUCCCUGCUAAAGAGCUAGAAGCCCCCAAGGAAAAGAAACAAGAUACCAUAAGGGAAAAUAAACUCUCUGAACAUGAGAUGGAUCAAAGUAGACAUGGUCAUUUUGGUAAUGUUAGUGAUGCUAAUUUAGAGAAGGAUUUAAAGAAAGAGAAGAAAAUGAGGGACAAACUGUCAAGGAAGGAUGAAGUUCCAGUGUAUGGAAGGGAUGAUGUGUUUGAAAGGAAAUUAAAGAGGAAUACAUCGGAGGAGCAAGAUAAUGGUAAUCAUAUUGAUAUGGAGGACUUUAAGCUGAAAAGGAGGAAAACAAAUGAGAAAUUUUUGAAGAAAGAUGUCCAAGGGGAUGAUAAGAGCACAGUGGAAAAGAAACCCAAGAUUAAAACAUCGAGGGAGGAGCAAGGAGAGCUUGAUGUAAUCGAUAAUGGGGAAACAUCAUUUGCAGACCUUUUUGCUGUCAAUGUUGCAGAAAGUCCCAAACUUGGUGAUGAAAAGAAAAUGGUAGAUAAAGCUGAAGACAUAAGUUUUAUGCGUGGUUUGGCUGCCUCCUCUGCAAAGAAAAAGAAAACUAAAAACCGAGGAAUGGGUGCUGCUGUCCAGCUGUCUGCAGCAGUUGAAGUUGGAAUGGGAGGGCCAUCAACGUGGGGUGAUGAGUAAUUAUUUUACAAUGUUUAAAGGUUCCAGAGGAUUCAUAAUCAAGUUAAGCCAGUCAAAGGUUCCUGCUUCUCCAUUUCUGCUACAACAUUAUCUGAUUUUCUCAACAAACAUGCGUAAAAAGGUUAUCUGGAUGGCCUGAUGUACCAGUUUUGAACCAUCAGACUUUUAACCAUUUGGAUAAUCAGACUUGCACUCUAUAACUCACAUUACCAAGAUGGCUGAUGUUUACAAUGCAUUUUUCACACUGUUUGAGCUUGACAAUUGUGAACUUUUAAACAGCUUGCAUACUGAAUGGUAGCAAUUUGAUGAUAGGCUUUAGGUCAUAUUUAUACAUGUAAGCAUUUGCCAGCCUGCUUGUGUCAUGCGUUUGUGCUUUAUGCCGCUUUGCUAGAUAUUCUAUGAUUUUGAACUCAUUUGGUUUGUUUGAAAAAGCACAUACAUAAACAAGCCUUAUGCUGGUGAAAG